UUAUGCAAAGUACCGCCACUAGCCAGGCUUGCUGGAAACGCUCCGCCGAGCGUACUAGCUAAGUCAGGCUUGCACAAGCCAUUGGCCUUAAAUCUCCUCACCUCCCACUGCCUUACCUCCUGUUGGUGCUGCCGCCGCCGCCACCUUCUACACCACCUAAGUCUGCUGCUGUCGUCAAAAUCGUCCGGUGAGGGAGGUCGGAGAGGCGCUGCUCCGGCGAGCUCGCCUCCUCGGAGGUGCAGAGUUCUUUAAGAUGGAGGCGGACGCAUCCGGUGCAGAUGAUAGCCAGCCCUGCUAGAUCUGACACGGGACGCUGCUUCCCACGAAUUGAAGGCGCGGUGUUGCUUGGAUUUGGCGUGCCUGUGUAAUUAUUCUUCUUGUUCUUGUGUUGGAUUUGAGUAGCACAGGGAUUGAACAGCGUUUUGAUUGGGCGUCGUCUGGCUGGAAUGCAAAAAAAAAAAACAUCACCACCAAGGAAGGAGUCCGCCAGUUGAACCUACCCAAUUUGUUGGAUGACGAGUAAUUCGUCUUUUAUUCUUGUUUGAUUUGAUUGGUGGGUCAUUCGCCUCUUUUGGAAUUUGGAGUUUGGAUGAUGCUGUUGGUAA